UACGUAGGUGGCGAGCGUUGUCCGGAUUUACUGGGCGUAAAGAGCGCGCAGGCGGUCGAAUAAGUCGAAUGUGAAAGCCCCCGGCUCAACUGGGGAGGGUCAUUCGAUACUGCUCGACUUGAAGGCAGGAGAGGGAAGUGGAAUUCCCGGUGUAGUGGUGAAAUGCGUAGAUAUCGGGAGGAACACCAGUGGCGAAGGCGGCAUCCUGGACCGGCAUUGACGCUGAGGCGCGAAAGCCAGGGGAGCAAACGGG
rnacentral:rRNA from 1 species